GACUGCGUGGCCUAAUAGAUAAGGCGUCUGACUUUGGAUCAGAAGAUUAAGGGCUUGAGUCCUUUUGUGGUUG
rfam:Xenopus laevis strain J chromosome 8S, whole genome shotgun sequence.